GACGAACGCUGGCGGCGUGCUUAACACAUGCAAGUCGAACGAUGAACCCGGAGCUUGCUCCGGUGGAUUAGUGGCGAACGGGUGAGUAACACGUGAGUAACCUGCCCUUGACUCUGGAAUAACUGCGGGAAACUGUAGCUAAUACCGGAUACGACCCUCGGCGGCAUCGCCAGGGGGUGGAAAGAAUUUCGGUCAAGGAUGGACUCGCGGCCUAUCAGCUAGUUGGUGAGGUAACGGCACACCAAGGCGACGACGGGUAGCCGGCCUGAGAGGGUGACCGGCCACACUGGGACUGAGACACGGCCCAGACUCCUACGGGAGGCAGCAGUGGGGAAUAUUGCACAAUGGGCGCAAGCCUGAUGCAGCAACGCCGCGUGAGGGAUGACGGCCUUCGGAUUGUAAACCUCUUUUAGUAGGGAAGAAGCGAAAGUGACGGUACCUGCAGAAAAAGCACCGGCUAACUACGUGCCAGCCGCCGCGGUAA
rnacentral:rRNA from 1 species